GCGCCACGCGGGUGCUGGACGACAUGGCUGGGAGUGCGUAGGGAGGCGGUGGGAGAGCACGGAUCCUGAGGUACCUGCUGCUGCAGCAGAUGCCGGCGAUGCUCAUGGGUUUUCCAGUAUUCCUUGCUCCUAAAGAUGCCGUCCUGUCCUCGGCUCAAGCCUCAUGUACAUCAGUUCCUAGACUUGGGGCACAGCCACGAGGGAAGACUCAGAACAUUAACAUGUGGCCUCUGCUGCAAAAUGGAAUGCUUGCCCAAUGGGUAAACUGUGAAGUAAAGAUCCAGAAGAGAAGCUGUGCCUGCUGUGAUCAGAACUCCAGGGAGGAGUCCGUGUCUGCAGACACUGGAGGACUGAGAGGAACUUCAGCAGUGUGGAGACCCUGGAACCCAGCAGGUUCAGAGGCUGAGAACUCUAUCAUGGGCUAGUUGUAGGGUCUGGAGUGGGCAUUCCUUGCCCCACUCCGAAGAAAUACCUAAUGAGGAUGAUGAUGAUGGGGAGGAGGAAGACACUGAUGAUGGUGAUAGCUCUUGGAAGCUUUUAAUUCAGCAGGACACUAACUUCCAGUAAUCCAAGAGCGAAGGAUGCCAUCGGACAGCAUCCUGGGCUUGUAACAUGGCUCCCACACCUCAUUGUACCCAUUUCUCUGAACUUGCUACCAAUGCAUUUUGAAGUUCUCCUGAUUUAAGACUUUCUUUGUUCUGUACAAUUUCAUAGAACAAAAAAAGAUAUACAAUGUUUAUGAAACUGCUUUUCUGUUGGGACUUGGGUUACCUAAGUCUGUGUUCCCAGGUCUUGAUCACUCAAUGGCUCUGGAAUAAAUGUUCCUUUAUUCCUCUGGA